AGACAGGAGAAAAUAUUUCAUUUUGUAACGGUAAAAAAAAGACUCAGCUCUUUAACCCAGAUUCACUUUGGUCUUCACCAAACGAGCAGAGUUCAGGUUAAUUAUUAAAAAAUCGGACUUGUUGUGUAACAUGCUGCUAAAGGAAAGCAGAGCAGCUGCAGACUUUAGAUGUAACUGUCACAGCAAAACAUAUAAAACAAGACACAUAGAGAUAAUGUUAAUGUGAUGAGCUGCGUCUACCCCUGGCAAUCAGAUUGUUCAGUUAUGAUUUUGUCCCUGAAGCUUUCUUUAAAAUGUGAGUUGUGUUUUUUCACGUUUCACAGGUCACAUAAGGUUGGAGGUGGGCAUAUCUAGUCCUGCACAACAAAACUGGAUGGAUCACAUCAGAGGGAACAGGAAACAGAGCGAUGUUACACGUACAAAUAAAAAAAACAAUGUUAUCCCAGAUGAUAAAACAUGCACAUAAUUGUAAUCAUUUUCUGCAUAAAAAGUCACCCAAAAGCCUGAACUGUGUCUACACAUCUGAAAACUGUUUUUUUUAAACAUAUUUUUUUUUAGAAAAGGACAAAUGAAAUCCUUAACACAAAUACGUCUUGGAAGAAGAAAAACAGACAUAUUUUACGCAAUACCAUCCAUUUUUUGGCUUUUUUGAAUGAAGUACUGAGUGUUUUAAUCUUGUAAAGACUUUUAGAGUAUUCAAAUGAAACAAUUCCCAAGCCAAAAAGGUCAACGGGAACCACUGUGUUAUAUUGUUGGGUCGUUUGAACAACAAAGAUAUUAUAUUAGCUUUUCGUCUGUUUUAUUUUCAAAGUAUCAGAGCAGUAUUUGAGAGCUCGACUUAAAUGCAACAGCGUCUUUUAUUUUGAAAGCCUCUGGAGUCGGAAGUGUUGCAGGUGUUGUUGAACCCGGUUGCGGCACUUCAAAGAUGUCUGCCGGCAAGGAGACGCUUUAUGCUUCUUUAUCAAAUCUUCUUUAUCAACGGAAAAAAAAGAUUGAAGGAGCGUUCAUGCAGGGUUUGGGUCUCUACACUCUGGAAGAGUUGAAGUUUUCCCCCUCGGGGCUCUUGUACACUCGUGGUCCAUCUCAGUAUAAGAUCCCUGCGGUGUGCGAUGUGCCACUCUGAUUCAACGUCUAUCUGCUGUCAGAUUCCCACAACCCCCAUGCUGUCUACUCUUCAAAGGUGACAUUCCCCAUAAUCCUUUGGCUCUGCAGAGAACCCGUCCUCUUCCUGGGCAGUUCAGUGUUCUUCGCCAUCAAAGAUGCCGUGGCUGCAGCUCGCUCAGAGUCCGGUCUAGUUGGCCCGUUUACUCUGAGCAGCCCUGCAACACCAGAGAGGGCCUGUUUGGCCUGUGCCACCCCGUUCACUCAGAAGAUUCCAGGCAGCAAACCAGGAUCUUUUAAACUGUGUACAAAUUGAAAUUCUGUGUGUUUUCCUUUCUUCAGUGUUCAAAUUAAAUCUAAACUGUGAAAUAAUUUGAACUAACAAUAAUUAACUAAUACAGUUAUUUUACUCAACCAUUCAAGGAUUCAAGCGGUUUAUUAUCAUUUCUAUUAUACAUUUACAUGUGAAUAAAAAAGGAAAUAGAUACUAAUCCUUUCUGAACUAUUUUUAAAGGUUAAUUUUUAAUGAACAAAUCAAACGUUUUACUGACACCAUAUUGAGCAUCUGUUCUCAUUCUGUACCAUGUAAAUGUGAAAUAAAUACAUUAUUUUACAGCACAUUUGAAAGUUUUUGCUUAUGCAUUUGUCUUGCAGGAUCAUUUUCAACAACAGAAUGAAUAAUCGGACGAAUACUGAAAACAAAAAAAAAAUCAAAUGAAAUUAAGAAAUGACAUUCUAUAACAAGUGAUUUUAUCUUUAGUACAAAGACUUUAAGUGUCACAGUAGAGACAUAAGCCAUAAUAAAAACUGGAA